rnacentral:lncRNA from 1 species
ACAAUCAUUUUUUAUAAAAAUAUGCGAAUCUAAUUAUGCAUUAUGCAUUUUGUAUUUAAUUAAGUUUUUUCGAUAUCUUAAUUAAGAAAAAAUUGUAUAUUCAUAAAAAAAAAAAAAAAAAAAAAAAAAAGAAAAAAAAAAAAAAAUUGGAAUAGAACUAUUGCCAAUAUAUUUACUAUAAAUUAGAUAAAUAUAGAAACAAAAGGACCUUUCCAUUAAUCUUUUUUUUUUUUUUUUUUUUCUUCCUCCUUUUUCCUUAUUUAACUUUCUCUUUCUUUCCUUUUCUCCUACUUUUCCUUUUUUCUCUUUCUUCUUGUCUUUCCUUUUUUCUUUUUUUCUUUUUUUUUUUUUUUGUUUUUGUUGUGAAUUAUUUUUUCGAAUCAAAAAUGACAGAAGCAGAAAAAACAAAAAUACAGAAGCCAGAUUUUGACGCAUAUAAUGAAAAGUUGGAGAACAUAUUUAAGUCGAUUGAAGAAAUCAAAAAAAACUUGUAAGAAAAAUAAAAUAAAGAACUACACAAAUAAGUCUAUAUAUAUGCGCAUAUUGCACUAAUACAUACAUGUUGGUAAUUUAUUGGUAAUUUAUUGGUAAUUUAUUGGUAAUUUAUUGGUAAUUUAUUGGUAACUUAUUGUUUUUUUUUUUAUUUUUUAUUUUUUAUUUUUUUUUUUUUUUUUUUUAUUUCACAAAUAGUUAAAUAUUUUUUUAUAUAUGUUACUCAUUAUUUGAUUUAUAUUUGCAUCAUAAUAACCAAUGAUAUAAUUUUUGUUCGUUCGUUUGUUGGCUCACCCGUUCAUUUGUCAGUACACUCAUUUAAUUCGUUCACUUAUUUUUUUGUUAUAAUAGAACAACUUGCAAAAUGAGAUUAAAGUAGCGAGCAAAGCUAGAGAGGAAUAUAACAAAAAAAAAAAGAUAUGGUAGUUAAAAUAGAUUCUUAUCAAAAUGAAAUAGAUAGGUUAGAAAAAGAAAGAAGAACGUUAUUAGAAGAUGUGGAAAAAAAGCAAAAACAUAAAAAAGAAUUAAAAGUAAAUGCACAAAAUAUGAAAAAACAAUUAGGCUUUGAAAAAGAGGAGGAUAUAGAAAAAAAAAUUUCAGAAAUAGAAAAUAAAUUAAUGACUUCUACUAUAUCAAUAAAAGAAGAAAAAUUAUUAAUAAACCAAAUCCAAGUAUUAAAUAAAAAUAAGAGUUUAUUAUCUUCUUUUAGUAAACAAGAAGACGAGGCUAGUAAAUAUGACAAUGCAUCAAUAGCACCUUUAAAAAGCAAAAUCGACUCCAUUAGAGAAGAAAUAAACGAAUUUCGAAAUAAAAAAAAAAUUGAAAGAAAUAAACUUAAAGAAUUACAAAAUAAUUACCAAGAAAAAAAUAAUAAAUUAAAUGAAUUGAAUGUUUUAAGAGAUAACUAUUAUAAAAAAAUUAAUCAUUUUUUUGCUGAAAAAAGAAGUGUGGAAAUAGAACAAGAAGAAAAAAGACAACAAUUUAGAGAAUAUGAAUUGAGUUUAUUACAAGCAAAACAACAAAAACUAAAAGAAGAAAGAGAAAGAAAAAAUUUAGAAUUGGAAAAGGAAAAAUUAGAAAAACAAUUAGAGGAUAUUGACGUAGUACCAUUUAGAGAAGAAUUGGCAUUAAUUGAAAAUGUUUUAGCGUAUUUAAAAAGAUUGAAAGAAGAUGCAAAAGUAGAUGAACCGAAAAAACAACCAAGUAAUUUAACAAAAAAAAUUAAUGGACAUGUAGAACAAAUUUCCAAUAAUGACACAAAUGAUGCAGAUAUAACUGGUAAUGAUAAUAACAUAAAAGAAGAUGAAGAAGAUAUUAAUAAAGUAAAAACUGAUACAGAUAGUAACAAUAACAACAAUAUUAACAAUAAAAAAUCAAAAAAUAAAAAAGACAAGUACAAAGCAUUUAAAUUAGAUAUGAACAUUCUUUGUUAUUUUGUAACUGUUGGUAUAAAUCCACCUGUUAGUUUUGAUGAAAUCGAUGCAUGUGUUGUUAAAUUAAAUGAAAAAAAAAGUAUAUUCGAAAAAAAAAGACAAGAUAGUAUUCAAGAUGUAGAAUCACGAAGAUCUUCCUGUAUGGAAAAACUAAAAGAAAUCGAUGAGAAACUUACAAAAUUAAGGCCAGAACAGAGUAAAAACUCCAAAGCUCAUAAAGUAAAGGCAUAAAAUUCCUUAUCAACAAGAUUUUAAUUUUAUCAAAUAAUACCCAUAUUGUAUAUAUAUAUAUAUAUAUAUAUAUGAAAUUAUAAGGUAAAAACAUGUAUAAUUAUAUAUAAACGUGUAUACGAGUAUGUACGCAUGUAUAUAUACAUAUAUAUGUACGUGUGUUUUUUUUUUUCUUUUUCUUUUUUUUUUUCUUGGUUUCUACAAUUUUUUUUUUUUUUUUGAAAAAUAUGUUUUGUUCAUUAUAUGUUUAAUAAAUAGUAUUCUAAAAAUAUUAAAAAAUAAAAC